rnacentral:ncRNA from 1 species
AUGAGCCGUAUACAUUGAAAGGUGUACGUACGGUUCUGUGGGAGGACAAUGAAACCUGUAUUACAUAAGGCGCAUUGAUUCUACCCUCGAUCCACAAC